GAUGAACGCUGACAGAAUGCUUAACACAUGCAAGUCCACUUGAACUUCGGUUUGGGUGGCGGACGGGUGAGUAACGCGUAAAGAACUUGCCUCACAGAUAGGGACAACAUUUGGAAACGAAUGCUAAUACCUGAUAUUAUGAUUAUAUGGCAUCGUAUAAUUAUGAAAGCUAUAUGCGCUGUGAGAGAGCUUUGCGUCCCAUUAGCUAGUUGGAGGGGUAACGGCUCACCAAGGCGAUGAUGGGUAGCCGGCCUGAGAGGGUGAUCGGCCACAAGGGGACUGAGACACGGCCCUUACUCCUACGGGAGGCAGCAGUGGGGAAUAUUGGACAAUGGACCAAGAGUCUGAUCCAGCAAUUCUGUGUGCACGAUGAAGUUUUUCGGAAUGUAAAGUGCUUUCAGUUGGGAAGAAAAAAAUGACGGUACCAACAGAAGAAGUGACGGCUAAAUACGUG
rnacentral:rRNA from 1 species